GAUGAACGCUGGCGGCCUGCCUAAUACAUGCAAGUCGAGCGAACAGACGAGGAGCUUGCUCCUCUGACGUUAGCGGCGGACGGGUGAGUAACACGUGGAUAACCUACCUAUAAGACUGGGAUAACUUCGGGAAACCGGAGCUAAUACCGGAUAAUAUAUUGAACCGCAUGGUUCAAUAGUGAAAGACGGUUUUGCUGUCACUUAUAGAUGGAUCCGCGCCGCAUUAGCUAGUUGGUAAGGUAACGGCUUACCAAGGCAACGAUGCGUAGCCGACCUGAGAGGGGGAUCGGCCACACUGGAACUGAGACACGGUCCAGACUCCUACGGGAGGCAGCAGUAGGGAAUCUUCCGCAAUGGGCGAAAGCCUGACGGAGCAACGCCGCGUGAGUGAUGAAGGUCUUCGGAUCGUAAAACUCUGUUAUUAGGGAAGAACAAAUGUGUAAGUAACUAUGCACGUCUUGACGGUACCUAAUCAGAAAGCCACGGCUAACUACGUG
rnacentral:rRNA from 1 species